CAUAUCCCUAAGCUCUACAAGCACAUAAUAUAAUGGAAAAUGAUAUAUAUAAUUCUGAAAUACCAUGCAUAUGCUUUAAAGCUAAUUCUAGCAAAACCCCCACAACCCAAACCCACAGUGGCUUUUCAUAGUUCAGCCAGUUCCUAAUUUUGCAUUCAAGUAUAGUAGGACAUUGAUCAAAUCAACAUGAAAAUUUAAAAAAUGGCCUUCAUUUAAUAACAUAAUGUAGGCCAAAUUAAUAAUGAAAUCCAGGCAAAUAUUAACCUCAUGAAGUUCAACCUGAAUCACAGUGCUCUACAUCUGGGAAGGAAUAGUCCCUUGUGCUGGUGCAAGCUGUGAAGUGGCUGGCUGAAUGUCAACCCUGCCAAAAAGGAUGUGGGGUGACAGUGGAUAUCAAGUUGCAUAUGAGCCAAGGAAAAAUUUCUUACUGCGAAUAAGACAAGCCAACCAAUGGACCAUGGCCAGCAGGCUGAGGGUGCUAGGGUCUCUGCUUGGCACAGUAAGGAGCACAGGCUCAGGUCCCUCCCAGGAAUGGGGAGAAACUGAAGAGGGUUUAGCAGAAGGUCACAAAAGCUAUCAGAAUGGAGGGCAUGUGGCCAAUUAGAAGUCGAGAGAGCUGGGCUUGCUUAGUCUAGGUCAACGCUAAAGGAUGAGCUAGUAGCAGCUUACCUGAAGGGCAGUAACAGAUAAACAGCUAAACAGCUGGUAGGGGCAGACAAUUUAACAGUGGCCACAGUCUGAGUUUUAUGAGUUUUGUUGUCCUAACUGGAUGUUAGGACAAACUUUUUCACGCUUAUUGUACACUGAAGUGUGGUGAUGUUUGAGAUAGCCCCUAAUUUCAGUGAGAAUUUCUGCUGUUGAACAGCCUUGGCAGAGCUUUCUGCUUCCAAAGCUGCAUCCCUGAAGUUCAUUUAAAUUUGCUGUAUUUUUUAUGUUCGUUGUAAUUAAAGCAUAGGCCAUCUUAUGUCUUUCAUAUUUGCAGAAAAUUGAGCCACAUGAUAACUAUA